CAGCCGCCGCGGUAAUACGUAGGGUGCGAGCGUUCAUCGGAUUUACUGGGCGUAAAGCGUGCGCAGGCGGCCCGUUAAGACAGGUGUGAAAUCCCUGGGCUCAACCUAGGAAUUGCGCUUGUGACUGGCGGGCUCGAGUACGGUAGAGGGGGGUGGAAUUCCUGGUGUAGCAGUGAAAUGCGUAGAGAUCAGGAGGAACACCGAUGGCGAAGGCAGCCCCCUGGGCCUGUACUGACGCUCAUGCACGAAAGCGUGGGGAUCAAACAGGAUUAGAUCCCCUGGUAGUCCACGCCCUAAACGAUGGGUACUAGCCGUUUGGUGCGCGAUAGCGCUGAGUGGCGAAGCUAACGCGUGAAGUACCCCGCCUGGGGAGUACGGCCGCAAGGUUGAAACUUAAAGGAAUUGGCGGG
rnacentral:rRNA from 1 species